rnacentral:rRNA from 1 species
GACGAACGCUGGCGGCGUGCUUAACACAUGCAAGUCGAGCGGGAUCCAACCGGUGGCAACACCGGGGAAGAUCUAGCGGCGAACGGGUGAGUAACACGUGAGCAACCUGCCCCGAAGACUGGGAUAACACCGGGAAACCGGUGCUAAUACCGGAUGUCGUCAUUAGGCCGCAUGACCUGAUGAUGAAAGGAUUCAUCGCUUCGGGAGGGGCUCGCGGGCUAUCAGCUUGNGGUGGGGUAACGGCCUACCAAGGCGACGACGGCUAGCUGGUCUGAGAGGACGACCAGCCACACUGGGACUGAGACACGGCCCAGACUCCUACGGGAGGCAGCAGUGGGGAAUCUUGCGCAAUGGGCGAAAGCCUGACGCAGCAACGCCGCGUGGGGGA